GAAAUGCGAUAAGUAGUGUGAAUUGCAGAAUUCAGUGAAUCAUCGAAUCUUUGAACGCACAUUGCGCCCCUUGGUAUUCCAUGGGGCAUGCCUGUUCGAGCGUCAUUUGUACCCUCAAGCUCUGCUUGGUGUUGGGUGUUUGUCCCGUCUCCGCGCGUGGACUCGCCCCAAAGUGAUUGGCAGCCGGCGUACUGGUCCCGGAGCGCAGCACAUGUCGCGCAAACGAGUGCCUUGGUACGGCAGCGUCCAUAAGCCCCUCUCUCACGCUCUUGACCUCGGAUCAGGUAGGGAUACCCGCUGAACUUAAGC
rnacentral:misc_RNA from 1 species